GCCGGCAGUUGCCAAUUAAGUUCUUCCCCUGGCCUGUUAGCCCAGGGGUCUGCCCCACCCACUAGAGUGCAGAUUUAAUCCACUUCAGCCAGGGCAGGCAGCCUGCCCUAGAGACCAGCUCCACCCGACAGCAAGCCCUCAGACUACUUGUCAGCAUGCCUAGACUGAGUGUCUUGAUCCUCUACAGGCAGAUAAGCAAAUGGAGACAAACUGGUUGGCAAUCUUCUUAAGGUCAUAUAGAGGCCAAGUCAGGAUUUGAAGCCAGAUGGAACCUGUUCUCCCUAACCAACUCUCUGAGGCCAAACCUCAGCGGCUGGAGGAUUCAGUCCUUAUGCUGUGCAGACAGCUCCUCCUGAGGACUCACAUCGGACACAGCAUGCAGGCAAUCAGCCGGAAGCAAUCUAGAGCAGAGGCCAAUGGAUGCAAGCUUGUCCCACCCACCCCUAACAAGACCAGCCUGCAGUGUGGGGCACCCCAUGGUUCCGGCAUGAGCAAACAAAGGCUGAACACCGAGCUCUCCUGGCAAACACCCUUUAUCACAGAGUCCACAGACGGGAGGUGGGUGCACAGUUCAACCUCCUCCAGCUUCGUCUGUGUCCACGGAGUGCUUGGCAACACCAGGGCCCGAACGGAAGGACUUCACUCCCGUGGGAUGGUUCUACUGACCAACAGGUUGAUGCAAAGGGAGACGUAUGGUAAACAGGGAGCACCCCACGUUCACCUGAGGGCUUCACCGUGCUGGCGUCACAGGGGGCACCCCACGUUCGCCUGAGGACGUCACCGUGCAGGUUCACAGACGAGCUGAAGUCUGCACGUGGGGUUUUGCUCCAGGUGAAGCCAGCCCUGGACUCCCAGUUCCAUCUUUGACAAGCCUGUGAUUGCAGCAUGGUCUUGGAAUCAGACAGCGAAGGGCAAAGCCCAGCUCUUUCCCUUGAGAGAUUUGUUAUCAUGGGCAUUUUACUUCACCCUUUUAGUCCUCAGCUUCUGCAUCUAUAAAAUGAAGGUCAUUGUUGUGAACACACAAGGAAACGUGAGGUCAUGUAUUAAUAUUUUAGUUUAGGGCCUGACACACUGUAGGCCCUCAGUGGAUGGCACUGCUUUCACUUUUUGAUCUGUCGCGCUUUACUGCCUUAAAUUCCAGCUAAAAAUAUUAGGCAGACUAUUAAAGUUCAUAUCUUUACCCGUGGCAAAAAGCUACUGAAUUUUUAUUCCACCGACAUGCUAUUUGUUAAAAUAUUUCAUUCAAUACACCUUCAUUGAAUAAAAUAUUAAAUCAACUAAGUGAAGAUGAAAAUUUUGGUUGAAAUGGCUUUCCAGUAACAUGAGAUGAAAAUUCUUAUUAUUUUGCAAAUUCUGUUAUUAGCGAGUAUAGAAUCUGCCUGCCUUGUUCCCUGGCCUCUGCACUUUCGGGUCCCUCACUCCCAAAUUCCUUCUUUGUCCCUGUUCAUCACUCACCAAGUUUGGAGAUCCAUUCUGGGUUGUCCUGUUGUCUGUGUGGUGGUGGGCGUGUUAAAGAGGGAAGAGGCAGCCAGAGGAGGUGUUUGGUAGAAUAGUCAGUGGAGAGUGAUGGAGUCUAUUUUUAAGGAAGGGACGGAUCCUCAGGCUGGACGUGGUCUCAGUUACGCUUCCAGCCAAAGAGACUAGCUGAGCAUGGGCUCGUGGAAGGAUCUGGUCAUGAACGUGGUGUGGAAACAGCCUCAGGGCCAUUGGUAUCAGAAGAGAAGUUGGUCCCAAAGUGACUGGCAGUGGUCACUCAGCAGAGUUUUCAGAGCAGCAGAGUUGGCAGACGCCACGUGUAAAGUGGCCCAGGAGCAGUUGCAAUUUUAGAUCCUCCACGUGCAGCCACCACGUUAAGAACUGCAGUUUGUGCAUUUCAGCGGGUUCCUUUG
ensembl:lncRNA